rnacentral:rRNA from 1 species
UACGUAGGGGGCAAGCGUUGUCCGGAAUUAUUGGGCGUAAAGAGCGCGUAGGCGGUCCGAUAAGUCGGCUGUGAAAGUCAUGGGCUCAACCCAUGAAAGCCGGCCGAUACUGUCGGACUAGAGUCCGGAAGAGGCAAGCGGAAUUCCCGGUGUAGCGGUGAAAUGCGCAGAUAUCGGGAAGAACACCCGUGGCGAAGGCGGCUCUCUGGGACGGUACUGACGCUGAGACGCGAAAGCGUGGGGAGCGAACAGG